GACGAACGCUGGCGGCGUGCUUAACACAUGCAAGUCGAACGGAAAGGCCCUGCUUUUGUGGGGUGCUCGAGUGGCGAACGGGUGAGUAACACGUGAGUAACCUGCCCUUGACUUUGGGAUAACUUCAGGAAACUGGGGCUAAUACCGGAUAGGAGCUCCUGCUGCAUGGUGGGGGUUGGAAAGUUUCGGCGGUUGGGGAUGGACUCGCGGCUUAUCAGCUUGUUGGUGGGGUAGUGGCUUACCAAGGCUUUGACGGGUAGCCGGCCUGAGAGGGUGACCGGCCACAUGGGGACUGAGAUACGGCCCAGACUCCAACGGGAGGCAGCAGUGGGGAAUAUUGCACAAUGGGCGGAAGCCUGAUGCGACAACGCCGCGUGCGGGAUGACGGCCUUCGGGUUGUAAACCGCUUUCGCCUGUGACGAAGCGUGAGUGACGGUAAUGGGUAAAGAAGCACCGGCUAACUACGUG
rnacentral:rRNA from 1 species